AACAGUGGUGCGUUACAUGAUAAGAAAAUGCAAUGCAACAAAACGCUCAAAACCCAGCUCUGGAAAAACACCUCCACAAAUCAAUAGCGUAGUUAUGGGAAUUAUGAAGAGCACUGAAUUUGGACACGAAGUGGUUAUUGAUCCUAUUAGCUUGAAUUUUGCUAAAGAUAAUAAGAAAGGUGAAGUAGAUGCUACUGCUGCUGCUGCUUUGACGACUAAAGCUACUGAUUGUUGCUUUUGUAGGAUUUAGGAAGGAUGGUUUUUCACCAUCAAUCUUCUUUAAAUAUUCAUGCGUGUAUUUUUUUUUUCUUAAACCUGG
rnacentral:misc_RNA from 1 species